rnacentral:misc_RNA from 1 species
GUGAGUCAUCGAAUCUUUGAACGCACCUUGCGCUCCUUGGUAUUCCGAGGAGCAUGCCUGUUUGAGUGUCAUGAACUUCUCAACUGCCUUCCGGGUUUGCGCCCGGCGGUGAAGUUGGACUUGGAGGCUUUUCGCCGGUGGCUCUAGUCAGCCGUCCGGCCCCUCCGAAAUGCAUGAGCUACUUCCGAUUGGCAGUACAGCGGCCCCGACGUGAUAAUUAUCUGCGCCGGAACGGUCCCUCUGUCUCGGUGGGCUUUACAACGAGAAGCCCGGGUUUUUCGGAACCUGGCCUUGACCAAU